rnacentral:rRNA from 1 species
AUGGCAAGGUCGACAGAGCCAUUCCAAGCAAUGCAUAGCAUCCUCAGCAGCAACAACAACACAAUAGGCCACAAAACCCCAUUGUCGUCGCCGCUGGAAAUGGGUUCAUCUUCAGCAUUGGACGAGAAAGCACACGUCGUGUGCCUGCCGGCGGCCGCGCAAGGGCACAUCAACCCAAUGCUCGACGUGGCCAAGAUGCUCCACGCCCGCGGCUUCCACAUCACCUUCGUCAACACCGAGUACAACCACGCCCGCCUUGUCCAUGCGCAGGGCGCGGACGCGGUACCCGGUGUCCCGGGGUUCCGCUUCGCCACCAUUCCGGACGGCAUGUCACGGUCCGACAACAACGUCACGCAUGAUGUCCCAUCAAUCUGCAAGGUCAUCACGGAGGUCUGCCUUGGGCCCUUCCGACGCCUCCUCGCGGAGCUCAACGACCCGGCAACGGGCCACCCGCCCGUGACCUGCAUCAUCUCCGACGUCGUGAUGGACUUCUCCAUGGAAGCAGCCAGGGAGCUCGGCCUCCCCUACGUACAGCUGUGGGCAUCCAGUGCUAUCAGCUUUGUCGCUCUCCGGCACUACCGCCUCCUCUUCGACCGUGGCCUCGCACCGAUCAAGGACUUCAAGCAGUUGACGAACGAGUACCUUGACACGCCGGUGGAAGACGUGCCGGGCUUGCGGAACAUGAGGUUCAGGGACUUCCCAUCCUUCAUACGCAGUGUGGCACCGGACGACUACAUGUUGCAUUUCACGCUCGGGGUCGUAGAGCGCGCGGUCGGCGCAUCAGCACUGAUCAUCAACACUUUCGACGACCUUGAGGGAGAGGCAGUGGCGGCCAUGGAGGCGCUCGGCCUGCCCAAGGUCUACACCAUUGGCCCGCUCCCGCUCCUGGCACCGAGCUCAAACAUCAGCAUGAGCCUGUGGAAGCAGCAGGAGGAGUGCCUGCCAUGGCUUGACGACAAGGAGCCUGGCUCCGUCGUGUACGUGAACUUCGGCAGCACCACCAUCAUGACCGACGGGCAGCUGCUGGAGUUCGCCUGGGGCCUAGCCAUGAGUGGCAGGCAUUUCCUCUGGAUCAUCCGUCCCGACCUCGUCAGGGGGGUCACCGCGGUGCUUCCCCCAGAGUUCUCGGUCGAAACCGCCGAGCGCGGUCUCGUUGCCUCCUGGUGCCCGCAGCAACAAGUGUUGAAUCACCCGGCAGUGGGUGUGUUCCUGACACAUAGCGGCUGGAACUCGACAUUGGAUAGCAUGUGUGGCGGUGUGCCCGUCAUCAGCUGGCCAUUCUUUGCGGACCACCAGACCAUCUGCCGAUACCAAUGCACUGAAUGGGGCGUUGGCAUGGAGAUCGACAGCGACGUUCGGCGUGACACCGUCGCAAGACUUAUCACGGAGGUCAUGGAGGGUCAGAAUGGCAAGGUGAUGAAGAAGAAGGCGCAGGAGUGGAGGGAGAGAGCGGUCAAGGCGACCAAGCCCGGCGGCUCGUCUCGCCGCAACUUCGAGGAGUUGAUCCAUGAGGUGCUAGCUCCUACUCCUCGCCGCUCUGCAUAA